UACGGGGGGGGCAAGCGUUGUUCGGAAUUAUUGGGCGUAAAGGGCGCGUAGGCGGCUUUGCAAGUGACGGGUGAAAUCCCUCGGCUUAACCGGGGAACUGCGUCUGAUACUGGAUGGCUUGAGUUUGGGAGAGGGAUGCGGAAUUCCAGGUGUAGCGGUGAAAUGCGUAGAUAUCUGGAGGAACACCGGUGGCGAAGGCGGCAUCCUGGACCAACACUGACGCUGAGUGAGCGAAAGCCAGGGGAGCAAACGGG
rnacentral:rRNA from 1 species